CACGUAGGGAGCAAGCGUUGUCCGGAUUUAUUGGGCGUAAAGAGCUCGUAGGCGGCUCAGUAAGUCGGGUGUGAAACCUCCAGGCUCAACCUGGAGACGCCAUCCGAUACUGCUGUGGCUAGAGUCCGGUAGGGGAGCGUGGAAUUCCUGGUGUAGCGGUGAAAUGCGCAGAUAUCAGGAGGAACACCAGCGGCGAAGGCGGCGCUCUGGGCCGGAACUGACGCUGAGGAGCGAAAGCGUGGGGAGCGAACAGG
rnacentral:rRNA from 1 species